rnacentral:lncRNA from 10 species
CUGGCUCCGCCCACCGCGUGGUCCAAGGACCACCACCCGCCACCGCCGCGCGAGCGUACUAUUGCGGCCGCCCUCUGCUGCGCCUGAAGAGAGAGGCGACUCUACAAGCCUCACAGCAUGCACUGUUACUAAAAAGACGAUGCGUCCUCCUGGACCUGAGAUCUGUGUGAUCGUGGGAAAGCGACGAAAAACGAACAAAGGAACAGUAAAUGGAGUAACUUGGCUAGAAUAUGGCAGUAACUACAAGGCAUGUUCUGCUCUGGCACGAAGACAACCCACCUGAGGCACCAGACACAUGAGUGAAGCCAUCUUGGACAUCCCAGUCACAGCCAAACUCACUCCUGAGUGCAUCUGCAUGAUGAACCCAGCAAUCCCCACCAUGGAGCAAAGGAUCCAUCCAGUCAACCCAAAGAAUCGUGAAAAAUAAUAAAUUGUUGUUUUAAAGUUCUUCAGUUUGGGAAUAGCUUGUUAUGCAACAAUACAUAAUUAAUACACUGGUCUCCCACUUUCAAGUUUGAUUAACUUUCAGCUAUUUUUCACAUAGCAGGCAGAGUGAUUCCAUUAAAACAUAUAUCAGAUAAUGUCACUGCACUAAGUAAACUCUACAAGGACUCUCAUCUCCCUCAGAGUAAAGGUCACAGUUGUUACAAGGCCCUACGUAAUGUGGCCCUCACCACCACUCCAUUACCUUUUUCUUAUCUACUAUUUGCUAACUUUGCUUUGUCCUCUUUUCUGUUCUGAAACAGGCUAGGCAUGGUCCUGCCUCAAGGCCUUUGCACCACCUACUCUGUCUGCUUGGAUUGUUCUUCCCACAGAUUUCUUGCUCCCUUCUUCCUUCAUGAAGAAAUGUCAUGAAAUGUCCUUCCUUCAUGAAAUGUCACCUUCUCAUUUGAGGCCUUCUGUAGUACCCCAAAGAAUGGUCCCCAAAGAUGUCCACAUCCUUAUGCCCAGAACCUGUGAAUGUGUUAUCUUAAUGGCAAAAGUGACUUUGCAAAUGUGAUUAUAUUUAAGGAUCUUAAGGAGGAGAUUAUCCUGGAUUAUCCAGGAGGGCCCAAUGUAAUCACAAGGGCCCUUAUAAGUGAAAGGGGGAGGCAACAGAGAGAAGGAGAUGUCAUAAUGAAAACAGAUCCAAGUGAUGAGAUUGCUGGCUGGGGUGGAGGUGGAGGGGGGUACAAUCCAAGGAAUGCAAGAAGCCUCUAAAAGCUAGGAAAUGUCAGGACACAAAUUCUCCCCUAGAACCUGAGGAAGAAACCCAGGUUUAUGGACACUGAUUUUAACCCAAUAAGUCCCUUUUCUGACUGCUGACCUCCAAAACUGUAAGAUAAUAAAUUUGUGUUAUUUUAAGCCAACUGAGUUUGAGAUAAUUUAGUUAUGGCAGCAAUAGGAAACUAGCACACCUUCCUAGCCAUCCUAUCUAAAAUGGCAACCCAUGUCCUUCCUGGCACUUCCUAUCUCCCUUCCAUGUUUUUUUUAAAUCAUAUAUACAAUAUAUUUUACUGUUUUACCUAUUGUCUUUUCCACCAGAAAGUAAACUCCACGUAAAUAAGGAUUGUCUGUUUUAUUCUUUGCAGUAUCUCCACUGCCUAGGAUAGCAUCUGCACAUACUGCACACUCAGUACACAUUUGUCGAAUGAGUCACUGCCCCCGGCUGCAAAUAUAUC